UACGUAGGGAGCGAGCGUUGCUCGGAAUCACUGGGCAUAAAGCGCACGUAGGCGGUUCGGCAAGUCAGGUGUGAAAUCCCCUGGCUCAACCAGGGAAUUGCAUUCGAUACUACCGGGCUCGAGGGCGGCAGAGGAGAGUGGAACUCGUGGUGGAGCGGUGAAAUGCGUAGAUAUCACGAGGAACACCGGUGGCGAAAGCGACUCUCUGGGCCGCUCCUGACGCUGAGGUGCGAAAGCCAGGGGAGCAAAC
rnacentral:rRNA from 1 species